rnacentral:rRNA from 1 species
GCACAAGCGGUGAUGAUGUGUUUAAUUCGAUGCAACGCGAAAAACCUUACCCACCUUUGACAUGUACGGAAUCCUUUAGAGAUAGAGGAGUGCUCGAAAGAGAGCCGUAACACAGGUGCUGCAUGGCUGUCGUCAGCUCGUGUCGUGAGAUGUUGGGUUAAGUCCCGCAACGAGCGCAACCCUUGUCAUUAGUUGCUACAUUCAGUUGGGCACUCUAAUGAGACUGCCGGUGACAAACCGGAGGAAGGUGGGGAUGACGUCAAGUCCUCAUGGCCCUUAUAGGUGGGGCUACACACGUCAUACAAUGGAUGGUACAAAGGGUCGCCAACCCGCGAGGGGGAGCCAAUCCCAUAAAGCCAUUCGUAGUCCGGAUCGCAGUCUGCAACUCGACUGCGUGAAGUCGGAAUCGCUAGUAAUCGUGGAUCAGAAUGUCACGGUGAAUACGUUCCCGGGUCUU